GCUGCUCACGGUCUGCCUCUUUCGGUAAUGUGGGCGGAGUUUAAGUCACUGUGCUGUCCAAAACAAGAAGCGUGUAUCGACCCAAGGACGGAUUACUUACUGCCACCCGGUGUAGAGAGUCGAUCGGCUGAGAUGAUAUCAUAGCGUUAAAGACAUUAAAGAGUUGCACCACAAGAAGGACAUGGACCCUUCUGAAGAGUCCAUAAGAAUGACCUCUGAUCCCCAGAGCAAAGCAGCUGUGCAGGGUCCUAACCCACACAUGCAUUUAGAGAAAACCCCGUCUGCGCAGUCAGGCAAUGGUGGGGCGCUGGUGUUGUGUUCUGUAUCCGUGGCCUGCCUGAGCGGGUUGAUGAUGGGAUACGAGAUGAGUCUGAUAUCGGGAACUUUGCUUCAACUCAGGGAAGUUUUGAAUCUAUCCUGCCCCCAGCAGGAGCAGAUCGUCGGUUCUCUGCUGCUCGGUGCCUUCCUUCUGUCUCUGGGUGGCGGCAUCAUCCUGGACCGCUACGGACGUCGCUUCUCCCUCAUCUUCACGGCGCUGCUGUGUGUGUUUGGCACCUUUUUGAGUGUGUGUGUGGUAUCUUUCUGGGCAUUAGUGACUGGGCGAAUGUUGGUAGGCAUGGCAGUGGCGCUGUCAGGCACCGCUUCAUGCCUGUACGCGGCAGAAGUAGCGCCCGCCACCUGGCGUGGAAGGUGCGUGUGUGUGUAUGAGCUGAUGGUUGUUUUAGGGAUGCUGUUGGGCUUUGGAAUGAGCUGGGCGUUCGCGGGGGUUCCAGACGGAUGGAGAUUUACCUUCAGUGGCGUUCUUCUCCCCGCUCUGCUCCAAGCCGCAGUCAUGCCUCUGUUGCCGAGGAGUCCGCGGUUUCUGCUCGCUCAACGGCGUGAAAAAGACGCUCAUGCAACUCUUCUCCGUCUUCGGGCAGGCAUCAAAGGAAUGGACGCGGUGGAUGAGGAGCUUCGGGCCAUUCGUGUGGCCCUGGGGGAAGAACGGUUGCACGGCUUUCUGGACCUCUUCCGUUCCCGUGACAACAUGUCACACAGACUCCUCAUCGGUGCUGCUCUGGUGUUCUUGCAGCAGGCUACCGGACAACCCAACAUUUUGGCGUACGCGUCGACUGUUCUCAGCAGUGUGGGUUUCCAUGGUAACGAGGCAGCGACUCUCGCUUCCACAGGGUUUGGUGUUGUUAAGGUGGGAGGGACCAUUCCUGCUGUGUUCCUGGUGGAUAAAGUGGGACCCAAAGCCCUCUUGUGCGUCGGAGCCGUUAUCAUGACGUUGUCGACGGCAACGCUAGGGGCCGUAACCAUGCAAAGCCAAACUCAGGUUUCUAGCUUAUGCAAAGGCCCUGCUAAUAAUGCAAAUCUGACUGUUUUAAGAAUGGGAGACCAGACUGAUAUACUGCAUGGUUCAUACUAUCAAACCAAUCAUAAAACCAAUUCUGUGUUCAAUAGAGUUAAUGCCACUACGAAUAAUUGGAUUUUAAACCACACUUAUGAUCAUAGGACAGCAUUUCUUAAGACUGCAGAAGCAGGUGAGAGUUUGGAAGAGGACAGAUCGAAAAUUCCUCUUCAGUCCGUUUCUAUAAAUGAGGUAUCGCCUUCUCUCAAAUGGAUCUCUCUGGUCAGCCUGCUGGUUUAUGUAGCUGGAUUCUCCAUCAGCUUGGGACCAAUGGUACAUGUGGUUUUAAGUGCGAUCUUCCCAACUGGCAUCCGUGGAAAGGCCGUGUCCGUCAUCUCUGCCUUCAACUGGGCCACCAAUUUGCUCAUAUCAAUGACCUUCCUGACCCUGACAGAGCGGAUCGGCCUGCCCAACGUGAUCUUCUCCUAUUCUGCCAUGAGUUUCGUGUUGGUGGUGUUUGUGAUUGCAUUUGUGCCAGAGACGAAAGGACGAUCGCUGGAACAGAUCUCCAAAGAGCUUGCCAUGAAGAAUCCCAUGAGCAGCACACUGCUGUGUCACAGAGGACGACCGGAUCCUAGAAAGGAUGAAAAAGCCCAAACAUUUGACAUUUCACCUAGUUGAAGAAUAAAGCAGCAAGAGGAAAUUACAAGCAAGAGACUGUAUGUGAUACAGUCUGAAAACCUAAUGGACAGCUUAACUAGAUGUCAUGACUCUACUGAUCAAGAUUAUCCAAAGCAACUUAUAAUGCAUUUAAGUGUCAAGGAAGAUGAGCUGAAACUGUGACUGUGGUUUUCAGGAACACUGAGGCUAUUUUAAACCCUUCAUGUAAUGCUGCACUAGGACAGGAUGAUUAAUCUUAUAUCCCUCUUUCGUUUUUUUUAACCAGCCCACCCACAAGGGAAGGAGACACAGAAACACUCAGAUAGUCAUAGAUUUUCUAAUUAGUAUAAAAUGUUAAACUUUAUAACAGCUUGAUUUGCCAAAUCUGACUUGCAAGGAAUGAGAUCUUCCCAUUUGUCUGCCAGGUUAAGAACUAGAGCAAUGUUGAAACAUCAUUUGAUAUACAGAGGUAUAAAGACAGACAAGAGAUGCUGUUUUUAGACACCAAAAGUCUUUUGUGUCAGAGGCCAGAUCUCUUAUCACCAUAUAUACAUAUUUUUUGGAAAUGUAUUAACUUGUAAUAAAUUGAUUAUUGUUCAUUUUCUCAUUUACAAACAAUAUGUGCAUCACCAUAACUAAAAGCAUCACUGGAUGAUGGGCACAAACUGCAAUGCUGAGGAGAGACCAGAUACCCCCGUGUGUGUCGUAGCAAUCAUCGCCUGAUUUAAAACCACUCCUGAGUCGCAUUUAACGCCGCCACUUAGUACCUCGGCAGAUCGGGAUGUUUUGGCUUGAAUUAGGAGGUUGUAUUAGAGACCGGUGUGGGGUGCCAUUAAAAUAGCAAAACAUGGGGUUUGGGGACGCGGAGUAUCCAUUUCACGUGCCCCUUCGGAGGCGCCACUGGGCCAUUUGAGAAGCUUCUCGUGGGAUCCUAUUAGAGGGCAUCGGUGCUGAAAGCUUCACGGGCUCUCCCAUGAGCAAUGCGCGAUUGCGUGUAGGGUCAUCACUGUACCAUCUGAAAAAUCCCACUGUACAAGUGCGCGCGCGCGACUGUUAUUUCCGGUUCAAGACCCAUCAUUAUAAUCUCGAUCUUGCCACCUGUUAGUUCAAAGGGAACGUGCAGGUGUUCUGGCACUUGGUGUGGAAAACACAAACGUUUACUUUGCCUGUUAAUGUAAGCUAGCAAAUAAUUAUAAUGUUAUAACUUCCAUCUGAUAUUAGUUUAUACAAUACGAACAUAAUAUCAGAUGUAAAAUUAAUAAAAUU